AUACUGAGGGUGCAAGCGUUAAUCGGAAUUACUGGGCGUAAAGCGCACGUAGGCGGUUUAUUAAGUCAGAUGUGAAAGCCCUGGGCUUAACCUGGGAACUGCAUUUGAGACUGGUAGGCUAGAGUAUGGUAGAGGAUAGUGGAAUUCCGGGUGUAGCGGUGAAAUGCGUAGAUAUCCGGAGGAACAUCAGUGGCGAAGGCGGCUAUCUGGACCAAUACUGACGCUGAGGUGCGAAAGCGUGGGGAGCAAACAGGAGUAGAAACCCUAGUAGUCC
rnacentral:rRNA from 1 species